AUUCGGUCCUUUUUGGGACCUCCUUUUACAUUCACAGAAGUUCCUAGAUGGACUGAGAAU
rnacentral:pre_miRNA from 1 species